GCUGGCGGCGUGCUUAACACAUGCAAGUCGAGUGCGCGUCUGUAGCAAUACAGAUGGCGCACGGCGCACGGGUGCGUAACACGUGGGUAACCUGCCCUUUAGUGGGGAAUAACCUCGCGAAAGCGAGGCUAAUUCCGCAUAAGAUCCGCAAGGAUGAAAGCCGUAAGGCGCUGAUGGAGGGGCCCGCGCACGAUUAGCUAUUUGGUAGGGUAACGGCCUACCAAGGCUAUGAUCGUUAGCUGGUCUGAGAGGAUGGCCAGCCACACUGGAACUGAGACACGGUCCAGACUCCUACGGGAGGCAGCAGUGGGGAAUCUUGCACAAUGGGCGAAAGCCUGAUGCAGCGACGCCGCGUGGGGGAUGAAGCUUCUCGGAGUGUAAACCCCUUUCGACCCGGACGAAUACCUCGCAAGAGGGGUGACGGUACGGGUAUAAGAAGCCCCGGCUAACUACGUGCCAGCAGCCCGCGGUAAGACGUAGGGGGCCAGCGUUGUUCGGAAUUACUGGGUGUAAAGGGUUCGUAGGCGGUGUGGCAAGUCGGGAGUG
rnacentral:rRNA from 1 species